rnacentral:snRNA from 1 species
AUACUUACCUGGAUGGGGUCUAUGGGUGAUCAGGAAGGCUCAUGGCCUAAGCUAUUGACCUCCAUUGCACAAAAGGAGGGACGAUAGCUUACCAUCUCCCCAAGUCGGAGAAUGGACAUCAUAAUUUGUGGUAGCGGGGGUACGCGUACGCGCGGCCCCUA